GAUGAACGCUGGCGGCGUGCUUAAUACAUGCAAGUCGAACGGAAAGGCCCUGCUCUUGUUGGGUGCUCGAGUGGCGAACGGGUGAGUAAAACGUGAGUAAACUGCCCUUGUCUUUGGGAUAAAUUUAGGAAACUGGGGCUCAUAUCGGAUAGGAGCUCCUGCAGCAUGGUGGGGGUUGGAAAGUUUCGGCGGUUGGGGAUGGAAUCGAGGCUUAUCCGCUUGUUGGUGGGGUAGGGGCUUACAAAGGCUUUGACGGGUAGCCGGCCUGAGAGGGUGACCGGCCACAAGGGGACUAAGAGACGGCCCAGACUCCUACGUGAGGCAGCAGGCGGAAAUAUUGCACAAUGAGCGGAAGCCUGAUGCAGAAACGCCGCGUGCGUGAUGACGGCUUUCGGGUGGUAAACCGCUGUCGCCGUUGACGAAGCGUGAGUGACGGUAAUGGGUAAAGAAGCACCGGCUAACUACGUG
rnacentral:rRNA from 1 species